CCUACGGGAGGCUGCAGUGGGGGAUAUUGCACAAUGGGGGAAACCCUGAUGCAGCGACGCCGCGUGGGUGAAGAAGUAUUUCGGUAUGUAAAGCCCUAUCAGCAGGGAAGAAAGAAGACGGUACCUGACUAAGAAGCCCCGGCUAACUACGUGCCAGCAGCCGCGGUAAUACGUAGGGGGCGAGCGUUAUCCGGUUUCACUGGGUGUAAAGGGAGCGUAGACGGCCGUGCAAGCCAGGAGUGAAAGCCCGGGGCCCAACCCCGGGACUGCUCUUGGAACUGUGCGGCUGGAGUGCGGGAGGGGCAGGCGGAAUGCCUGGUGUAGCGGUGAAAUGCGUAGAUAUCAGGAGGAACACCGGCGGCGAAGGCGGCCUGCUGGACCGCGACUGACGUUGAGGCUCGAAAGCGUGGGGAGCGAACAGGAUUAGAUACCCUAGUAGUC
rnacentral:rRNA from 1 species